AUGAGAUAAGGGUCUGGUGUGGUGAGGGACUGGGGCAUGCAGGGAGGGUCUGGUGCACGUGAAGUGGGUCAGAUACUUGAAAUGUGGGUCUGGCGAGUGCAGUACAGGUUUGGGAAGGACCUUGCUGCAGAAUUUAUCUACAGAUGAAUCUAAACCUACGGGCAGAGUUCAGGCAUGGAGCACACAUUUUCUGCUGCCACUAGCUCCAAUUUCAUCAUUUUCAACAUCAAUAAGCCUCAUAUUCCCUAAAGAAUGCCCUUUAGCAGAAGUGAAGAUGGAAGAGAUAUUGCUUAAGGAUUUCCUCAACAUGACACACAAAAUCAAUAGCCUUCUGCAGCUCCAACAUGAAUUCCAUGAAAAAAACAUCUUAUGAGCAGCUUGAAUCAUUUUCAGCCAGUAAGGAAGGAUGAAAGAAAGAAACAUCUGCAGUUUUCAUCUUCUUAAAGAGCAAGUUGUAAUUCUGCAGCUGGACUCUAAGUGGUGAAGCUGCACUGCUGCAGUGAACCCUUCCAAAUCCAUCAGCAAUAUUCCACUAAUAAUGAAUGACAUACCUUUAAAGUAAAUAUAAACAAAAGAUAUCUCAAAUUUAUUACAAAGAAUAAAUAAACCAGAAAACAAUACAACAAAGGAGAAAGUAUAAAAGAAAUGGACAGAAAAGUAAAAUAUUGUGUCUCAGUAUAAGAUCAGUCAGGCACCAGUGUGUGAAAUGAAACAUCAACUCUCGUGUUCCUUUUGUAAUUUUUCACUUGUUGGAGCACAGAAGGUUAAGGCUGUGACCCCACAGAAGAAACAAUUAGUGGUGAGUGUGGACACCAUCAGGUGUCCAGUGGACCAAUCUGCAGAGCAAUGCUCAGUGCACACCUGCAGUCAGCUCCAAGUUCGGAUCAAACAGAGUCUGCAAAACCUCUCUCAGUCAGAUCCCAGCUCUGCAAAAAUCCUGGGACCUACACAGUGGCAUAGACCCCACAAGGAACUGAUCUUUACCUUUUGC